CCUCCUCCCCUACAACUGCACCCAACGCCGACCAACCGUCGCUCGAUUCCCCUCUGACCACCUCCCAUCCCUUCGUCAUCAAACCCAUCUCCAGAUCCGCCCUCCCUUCCUCCUUAGCCGGCGACGAACUCGAGCGCCUGCUGUCCCUCACCAAACCAACCACUCGUCCUCCCCUGCAACCGCACCCAACCCACUCCACCGCCCUCUUCUUCUACCUCAGAUCCGCCGCCACCUUCACCUUCCCCGCUGCCCGUUUGGCCCAGUCAUCGAUCCGCGUCCUUCUCCUCUCCAUUAUAACGAACGAAAGGGAAAGCUCUGGGAUCUGAUUUGAUUUGUUCAGACCCUCCCUAAGACCAAAGGAGAACAGAGAUCAUUAAUGGUUGUUGAUAAGUUGGGAUAUGGGCUCCACUGUAGUUAAUGGGUCUUGGAUUUCUCUCAACAUUUUUUGGAUAACAGUGGAUUGGAUAUUGAACCGGUUUUGGAGCUUGGGGAUUGCUUGCCUGAUCUUUUGCAACAACGUGGCACUCAAGAUCAACCUCCAGAGCUAUAGUGGAGAUGAUGUUGAAUUGGAAUUUUGGUGAUUAUCAGAGUAACAGUCCUUGGGAGGCAAGAAUCAUACAACCAUGGGGGACUCCCAACUUAAAGUUUUCGAGACAAGUGAGGCGGUUACGGCUACCACGAUUGAUUUGCAGAGAGAGGAAUUUUGGUUCGGGGUAGCGGUUGAAGACAAAGAAAAGAAGGUGGGCAAAAGCGAGAGAAGCUUGGGUUUGGGCAAAGUGAGGAUUAUCAAUGAGUUGGAGAGAAGCGCGGCUAAGAGAGCGCAGAAGUAGAAGGAAUUGGGCAGGGAGAUGACUGAAGAUUCCAAAAAAGAUUACCUCUUGUGGAAGGAUGGGGAGAGCGGCGGUUGUCUUCUUCAGCGAACUCCUUUUCUUCCUCUCAAUGUCAUUCCCUUUCACGGAUUUCUCUUUAGGAAUUCUGUUGGUCAUUUUUUCCCCUCGAGAAUGGUAACCCUAAAGUAGAGAUUUAGAGGAAAGAGACGGAACAGAACCUUGGAUUCCUUCUGUCCUUUUGUAGACAUGUGAGGUGAAGCGGCGUUACAAAAGAUGCAGUGAACAUCAAUUCAAAAAAGCUUCAGCCAAAUUGCUAUAGGAUAUGUAGCGAACAGCUGUCCAUUGUCUAGAGAUCCUCGGCAAAAUCGUCAAGACUUUUCGGAUAGGCUACGAGAAUCUAAACCACAAUAUUAAAAGGAAGGGGGAAAAUGCCAAAAGAAGAAGGUUUACCUUUUUAGGUUCUGGAGUUGCAAGGAAUUGUUUCCCUGUUCUCUCUACGAACUAGUCUAUUGCUGUGAAUUGCCCACUAUACCUUAUGUGGCUUUUGAUCACAUAUGCAUAUUCAAACUUCUCGAUCUUAAAGACUGCUGGUAAAAAAUGUAUUGUGAUGACAACACUGUCGAUGCUUUAUUUA